GCCAAGCCCGCCACCAACAGAUGACAGACAGCACUUUAGUUGUAUACAUCGUCUUUAAUUGAGAAAGCGUGGAGUGGAGAUCCGAUCCCCUGGGAGCAGUCCCAGGAGUUGGGUGGAGCCUGAGCGGGGUUUGUGUGGGGGUCAGGAAGAUGGACCAAUGGCAACAGAAGCUGAAGAGGGAAUAGGAUUGUCAUCUGCUGUCCCCAUUCUCCCCCUUCCCACCCAGCGGCCAGCUUCCCCUCUCACUGAAGGAGCUGGUAUCCUCUGGGGUGCCCUGGAUACUUCCGUCGGGAUUCGCCUGGAGGUAGAAACCCUGGCGGCAGAACAGUUUGGUGACGAUGCCUUUGAGCUGAGGCUCUGGAGAGAGAGACAUUCAUCUUUGAAAAUGACAUCUCUGUUCCCAGAAACAUUCCUACACUUGGCAGGAUCAGAGGAUGAAAGGAGAAUGAAAGGAAGAGGGUCCCAGGGCCCCAGCUCUCUUACCCUCCAAGCACACUCUCUCCCACCUCCCUUUCACUCCUGGGAAAGCUGAUGUGGGUCCCUUCUGCUUCCUAUAACCAGGAGCUUUCAGUGUAAUUUAUUGAAAUUUAUUUAAAUGGCUUAAUUCCUACCCUACAGCUUAACCAGAAGCGGGGAGGAGUGGGGGAGGAGGGAGGGGAGAGAUAUAUCAAAAGGCAGGGACAGAGGGAGACCAGCAGGGGUACUGAAGGGGCAGCGUGUUUGCGAAGGUGGGGGACAGUGGCAGCAGCAAAUUGACCACAGGGUAGGGGCUCUCCCUCAGGGGUGGGGGUGGGACUGGGCCUGACGCUGACUCAGCACCUGCUGCGGCUGCCGCUAGCUUGGCGAGAGCCUUGCCUUGGCCCAGUGCCGGUCUGUCUGACACUGACCCGUCUGUCUGUCUGUCUGCUGGCUCGCGGGGGCCCAGCUCUCCCUGAGGCUCAGCCUCUCCCCUUCGGCCAGGUAGCCCAGUAUGGAUCCUGCAGGAAGCUUGGCACUAUCCCCACUGCGUUGCUUUGUUUGCUCAGAUAUACCAGAACUCCCCAGGUCCUGACCCUCCUGGGGCCUGAAGAGGGAGUCAAGAUGGUUAACGUGCCUGGGCAGGAAGCCUGGGCGAUGAUGGACGCGGGAAGAGACUUUUGAGCACAGGUUCUUGGGAUCCACGGAGGAGCGAAUACG